rnacentral:rRNA from 1 species
CCUACGGGCGGCAGCAGUGAGGAAUAUUGGUCAAUGGCCGAAAGGCUGAACCAGCCAAGUAGCGUGAAGGAUGACUGCCCUAUGGGUUGUAAACUUCUUUUAUAAAGGAAUAAAACGAGGCACGUGUGCCUUUUUGCAUGUACUUUAUGCAUAAGGAUCGGCUAACUCCGUGCCAGCAGCCGCGGGAAUACGGAGGAUCCGAGCGUUAUCCGGAUUUAUUGGGUUUAAAGGGAGCGUAGAUGGGUUGUUAAGUCAGUGGUGAAAGUUUGCGGCUCACCAGUAAAAUUGCAAUUGAGACUGGCAGUCUUGAGUACAGUUGAGGUAGGCGGAAUUCGUGGUGUAGCGGUGAAAUGCUUAGAUAUCACGAAGAACCCCGAUUGCGAAGGCAGCUUACUAAACUGUGACUGACAUUGAUGCUCGAAAGCGUGGGGAGCAAACAGGAUUAGAUACCCGGGUAGUC